UAUAUUGUCUUGAUUGUUUCUCAAUGUGAGUUGCUACUGGAUUCCUCCGACUUAGGUUGAGAUUGUCAUGGGACUCAAAGAAGAGUUUGGGAUCUCUGUGGAAGAAGAAAGUGCUCAAACUAUCACCACUGUUCAGAAAGCAGCCGAUAUGAUUGAGAAGCUCAAAGAGAAGAUAUAAGUUAAAGAUUCCGGCUCAUAGGUUUGCUAGGAAAGUUCUUUAACUUACUUAUGAAUCUUUGUUCAAUUGCCUGCUAAUGCUAUUAUGGAGCGUCCCUUUACACUUUGUUUUGAGGAACCUUAGUUUCUCUCUCUGUUUGUUUCAUUUCCUGGCAAGGGACUAGAUUUUAUUGUCGAUACACCUUCAUUUCAUUUCCCUACUAGAUAGAGGCGGAUCCAGCUUCCGGCAUGAAUACGGGCUAAUACAAG
rnacentral:lncRNA from 1 species